CUCCAUCGUUGUUCUGCGGGACAGAAAAAGAUUUGCUGUUCCAGCUCUGGUGGAUGCUCUGCCCCCUGGCGGAGAACACUAGUACUGCUCACACCUCAACCCCUCGGAGCAGCGGGUCGUGUGGUACUGCAGAGAAACAACAUGUUUGAAACUGCCUUGUAUGAAACCUAGAUUUAUUGUUUGUACAACAGUGGGAUCGAUUCACAGUGGAACCACAGUGACAUCAGUAGGACUGGUAAACAUGUAAAAAAAGGAAAAAGAAAAUUUAUUAAAACAAUGUACACAACAGAAAAUUCUAGCCAACGGACGUUUCUAUAAAUUCUAAGGGAGAUCAAAGUAUUGAACACAAAAUGCAGUUGCAACCAAAACUAGAACGUCGUCAUAAAUAAAGCCAAAAGGAUGGAAUCACCGCAAAAUAAAUAACAGAUCAGGGGCUCCUGGAUGCUCAUUGGCUGACGGCAGGGGAUCCGCCUGGCCAAUGGGAAUGCGUCUUACGGAACAGAACACAGCUCCUGCCUCGUGAUUGGGUUACCGUCCUACUCCAGGACGUCACAACACACCCGUUAGGUUUAGUAGUCUAGAAUAUAAAAAUAGAACACACUGGAAGACCGGGGUUCCCUGAGCGGACCCAGACACACCUCCCGCCUCCGUCGCCUGGGAAUGAUUCAAACCGGUCCGGUCCACGUGGACCACACACACGACGAGACCCCCUGUAGGGGUCCUGCACCACCGGAGGGACUGAAGUCCACUCCAGACACAAAGAACACUAGUCGAACAUCGUCUAAGAAAUGGACCCGAACGGUUCAGCCGACCUGGGAUUAACCAUAGCCCUUGAGAGAAACUCAUUUAGGAAAAACACAGGCUGACCUCCAAAGGCCGAGUUCUUAGCUACAGGUAAGGUCACAGGUAGAGCUUUAGGCUACAGGUAAAGGUAAAAGCCACAGGUAGGACUACAAGUAGAGCUUAAAGUAGAGCUACAAGUAGAGCUUAAAGUAGAGCUACAGCUAGAGCUACAAGUAGAGCUACAAGUAGAGCUACAAGUAGAGCUACGGGUAGAGCUACAAGUAGGGCUACGGGUAGAGCUACGGGUAGAACUAUAAGUAGAGCUACAGAUAUAGCCAAAAGCUGCAGGUAGAGUUUCAAUCUACAGGUAAAGCUACAAGUAGAUCUGAUAUCUACAGGUAGACGAACAGGUAGAGUUUAAAGCUAUUAGGUAGGAACAGUGCUAGCCAGGUCUUUAGAAAGAUGCUAGCAAGGUGUCUAGAACAAUGCUAGCCAGGUAGAUUUGCUGUGAAGCCUCUUGCUACGAAGGUCAGAUGAACGGCAGCCCAGAGUUCAGAGGUCAGGUGCGUUGGGUUUACAUCCUGGGGCGCUUGGGGGCGGGGUCUCGGGGCUGGGGGAGACCCAGCUUGGCGAGCUCUGCGUGGUAGAAGUUCUGCAGGCGCACGCCGGCCUUGGCCUCGUUGGUGUGGCGGGGGUUGUACUGCAGGCAGUUGGAGAACAUCAGAUCCACGUCCUCCAUGUACUGGGCUGCAGGACACGGACAAGGACGGGUUAGGUCACUCAGGCAGUAGAUCAGCCCCUCUGGAUCCACCACACCAGCCCCUCUGGAUCCACCACAUCAACCCCUCUGGAUCCACCACAUCAACCCCUCUGGAUCCACCACACCAGCCCCUCUGGAUCCACCACACCAGCCCCUCUGGAUCCACCACACCAGCCCCUCUGGAUCCACUACACCAGCCCCUCUGGAUCCACCACACCAGCCCCUCUAGACGCAGUACAUCGUCCCCUCUGGAUCCACUACAUCAGCCCCUCUAGACGCAGUACAUCGUCCCCUCUGGAUCCACUACAACAGCCCCUCUAGACGCCGUACAUCGUCCCCUCUGGAUCCACUACAUCAGCCCCUCUAGACGCAGUACAUCCCCCUCUGGAUCCACUACACCAGCCCCUCUGGACGCUGUUCUCACCUGAGGUCUUGUAGUCACAGUUGUUGACCUUUUCUCUGAUGAUGCUGAGGGCGAUGGGCCUCUGGAUGAUCUCAUAGUAGUCCGGAAGCUUCAGAGAACAAAAGAACAUUGGAUUUACAAAAGGUCAGAGUGUGUGUAUCUCAGUCGCGCACAGGUGUGUGGCGCGUACAGGUGUGUGGCGCACAGGUGUGUGGCGCGUACAGGUGUGUGGCGCGCACAGGUGUUUGUAC
ensembl:lncRNA